UACGGGGGGAGCAAGCGUUGUUCGGAUUUACUGGGCGUAAAGGGCUCGUAGGCGGCCAACUAAGUCAGACGUGAAAUCCCUCGGCUUAACCGGGGAACUGCAUCUGAUACUGGAUGGCUUGAGAUUGGGAGAGGGAUGCGGAAUUCCAGGUGUAGCGGUGAAAUGCGUAGAUAUCUGGAGGAACACCGGUGGCGAAGGCGGCAUCCUGGACCAACACUGACGCUGAGGAGCGAAAGCCAGGGGAGCAAACGGG
rnacentral:rRNA from 1 species